CCUACGGGUGGCAGCAGUGGGGAAUAUUGCACAAUGGGCGCAAGCCUGAUGCAGCCAUGCCGCGUGUGUGAAGAAGGCCUUCGGGUUGUAAAGCACUUUCAGCGGGGAGGAAGGCGUUAAGGUUAAUAACCUUGUCGAUUGACGUUACCCGCAGAAGAAGCACCGGCUAACUCCGUGCCAGCAGCCGCGGUAAUACGGAGGGUGCAAGCGUUAAUCGGAAUUACUGGGCGUAAAGCGCACGCAGGCGGUCUGUCAAGUCGGAUGCGAAAUCCCCGGGCUCAACCUGGGAACUGCAUUCGAAACUGGCAGGCUAGAGUCUUGUAGAGGGGGGUAGAAUUCCAGGUGUAGCGGUGAAAUGCGUAGAGAUCUGGAGGAAUACCGGUGGCGAAGGCGGCCCCCUGGACAAAGACUGACGCUCAGGUGCGAAAGCGUGGGGAGCAAACAGGAUUAGAUACCCCGGUAGUC
rnacentral:rRNA from 1 species